rnacentral:tRNA from 1 species
GGAUAGAGCAUUCGCCUCCUAAGCGAAGGGCCGCAGGUUCGAAUCCUGCCGGGAGCGCCA